AAUGGGUCCUGCAAAUGGGUGAUUCACCUUCUCUUUGUUUUUCUAUAGCCACAUACAAUGCAGAGUCAUUUCACUCACUCUUUUUGUGUCCCCCAGCAUGAGCCCUUGAAAGUCACUAGGAAAAUGGCACAGUGAUCCCAAGCUCGAUGAAACUGGUGCAGAGAGUUCUCAGAAGUAUCCAUUUUUAUGUUAUUAAGGGUGAGUGGUAGGUUAUCUCUUCAUUACAUGGUGCUUGAUUCUGGAACAAGAGGAAUUAGCCUUAAACAUCAUCCCAGAGAAAUUCUUCAAUCUUAA
rnacentral:lncRNA from 1 species